AAUGGGCGCAAGCCUGAUCCAGCAAUGCCGCGUGUGUGAAGAAGGCCUGCGGGUUGUAAAGCACUUUCAGUGGGGAAGAACGGAUGCGGGCCAAUACCCCGGAUCACUGACGUUACCCACAGAAGAAGCACCGGCUAACUCCGUGCCAGCAGCCGCGGUAAUACGUAGGGUGCAAGCGUUGUCCGGAUUUAUUGGGCGUAAAGAGCUCGUAGGCGGUCUGUCGCGUCGGAUGUGAAAACCCAAUGGCUUAACCUUGGGCCUGCAUUCGAUACGGGCAGACUAGAGUGUGGUAGGGGAAACUGGAAUUCCUGGUGUAGCGGUGGAAUGCGCAGAUAUCAGGAGGAACACCGAUGGCGAAGGCAGGUUUCUGGGCCAUAACUGACGCUGAGGAGCGAAAGCGUGGGGAGCAAA
rnacentral:rRNA from 1 species